ensembl:lncRNA
GUUAAAAGAGUCGACAUAGAUGUACAGAUACCAUUGUCAAAAUCUGAAGGGAAAAGUAUAGUUUGGACAGAAAGUAAGAACUUCUGGCAAAUGGCAUGGGAUACUGACACAAAAGGGAGACAUUUGUAUAGGGUACAACACACAAUAGAAGCUAAGAGGAGUAGCGGAUUAAAGAGACAAGAGGAGGUUGUUAUUAGUAGAAUACGAACGGGCCACUGCUUUUUAAAUGGUACUCUUUUUAGGAUAGGUAAACAUCCGACUGGGUUGUGUGAUGGGUGCACUGAUAUGGAGACGGUUGAGCAUGUACUCCUUAGUUGUAGGAAGUAUGCAAGGCACAGGAGGGUGAUGUGGGGUGAAAUGAGUGGUGGAAGGGAACUUACAUUUGAACAAGUGGUUAAUGAGUUAAGUCAUGGUGAAGGGAAAGUGGUGGUUUUUCGUUUUUUGAGAAAUACUGGUCUCAUCAAGAGGAUCUAAGGAUUCAGGAGUGACGGACGAUUAACAGCCAGGAGAUGGCAGUAAUGCAACAGUUUUGGAUGCAAGCUGCCGUUAAACUUGACUGAAGAAGAAGAAGAAGAAGGUGCAUCUGGUGAAGUGAAUGUGCUGAAAGGAUCUCCUUGUUGGCUGUUGGAGUGAAUUCUACAUCAGAAACUCUUCACUGAUUACUCGCCUCUCCAACAGCUCCAUCCACCCCAAAUCACAACCCUGCAGACCCUAACCCUUCGUGGAUAUUGUCUUCAAACAGAUUAGUAGUAGUAGAAGUAAGCAAUCUGGCUCAUUCUAAAUCAUUUUAACUCUGUGGAUUUUGUUGCUCUGGACAGUUUUUGGGAUAAACUCACCCAGCUAAUACCCAUUUCCUCUUUCCUAUAUAACCUGUCUGUGACCAACUGUCAACUUACCCUGACUGGUGUAUUCCCAGAGUGCUGUCAAAGCCUUCUUUUAUCUAAAUUUCUUGGUUCUGAUUUUGCAUUUACUUGUUUUGCUGACCUACCAGGUCUGAGAUUACAUUCUUGAACUUUUAUACAAAAGUUUUAUAAAGACAUC